rnacentral:rRNA from 1 species
AACGAACGCUGGCGGCAUGCCUAACACAUGCAAGUCGAACGAGACCUUCGGGUCUAGUGGCGCACGUGUGCGUAACGCGUGGGAACCUGCCCUUAGGUUCGGAAUAACUCCCCGAAAGGGGUGCUAAUACCGGAUAAUGUCUUCGGACCAAAGAUUUAUCGCCUUUGGAUGGGCCCGCGUUGGAUUAGCUAGUUGGUAGGGUAAAAGCCUACCAAGGCGACGAUCCAUAGCUGGUCUGAGAGGAUGAUCAGCCACACUGGGACUGAGACACGGACCAGACUCCUACGGGAGGCAGCAGUGGGGAAUAUUGGACAAUGGGCGAAAGCCUGAUCCAGCAAUGCCGCGUGAGUGAUGAAGGCCUUAGGGUUGUAAAGCUCUUUUACCCGGGAUGAUAAUGACAGUACCGGGAGAAUAAGCUCCGGCUAACUCCGU